CCCUGCAUAUAUAUGAUUGA
rnacentral:snRNA from 1 species